rnacentral:lncRNA from 1 species
CAAAAAAUGAGCAGAGGAGAGCUGGGUCUGAGAAACGGGGACAGCGGGGAGGGAGCUGAAAAAGAAUGAGGCUAGGCUGAUCUAUAUGGUAUGGAUCUGAGAAGGUGGGGCAAGUGGAGUAAAGAGGCCAAUAGGUCAUUGAAAUUGUGCAUGUUAGGUCACACAGAUGAAUCAGAAGACAGAGGAAGCCCUGCAAGUUGAGCUUACCUUACGCUGAACCUGAUCGGGGAGUGGUGAGAAGCAUGUGAAUUGCCAGAUGAAAUC